rnacentral:ncRNA from 1 species
UAAGUCUUUUUUUUUAGAAAAUUCUGUUUUAGAUGCAAAUCUUUGUAUUAAUAAAAUUUUAUUUUAGAAAGAUGAAAGUUUUUUAUUAAAUUUGCAAUAAAAAUUUUUAUAAAUUUAGGAAAACUAAGAUAUAGUAUUAGAUUUUAGUACAGAUAAAGUUUGUGCCAGCAGUAGCGGUUAGACAAACUGUGCAAUAAAAAAUGUUUAGUUUUAGAAAAAUUUUAAUUUUGAGUUUUAAUAAAAAUUUAUUAGGUGAAAUUUUAAAUUUUUAAAAGCUUAGAUUUUUGAAUUGAUUCUAAUAAAUUUUAUAAUAAACUAGGAUUAGAUACCCUAUUAUUAAAAUGUAAGUUUUAUAGGCUAAAUUAGUAUUAGUUAUGUUCUUGAAAAUUAAAAUAGUUGGCGGUAUUUUAGUCUGUUCAGAGGAGCCUGUCCUGUAAUUGAUAAUCCACGAUUUAAUUUACUUAUUUUUUUAAUUUAUAUAUCGCCGUAGGUUGAAUAUUUUAAAAGAAUUUAAAUAUUCAUAAUUUUUUAAGAAAGAAAAUCAGGUCAAGAUGUAGUUUAUAGAUAAGGAGAGAUGGGCUACAAUAAAUUUUUAAACGGAUAAAUUUUUGUAAUUGGUUUUGAAGGUGGAUUUGAAGGUAAUUUUAAAAAAAUUUUUAAAAUGAUUUAAGCUCUAAAAUAUGUACAUAUCGCCCGUCACUUUCACUUUAAAGGUGGAAUAAGUCGUAACAAAGUAGGAGUACUGGAAAGUGUUCCUAGAUGAAC